UACAGAGGGGGCAAGCGUUGUUCGGAAUUACUGGGCGUAAAGAGCUCGUAGGCGGCUUGGUAAGUCAGGUGUGAAACCCCCGGGCUCAACCCGGGGACGCCACCUGAUACUGCUAUGGCUUGAGUCCGGUAGGGGAGCGUGGAAUUCCUGGUGUAGCGGUGAAAUGCGCAGAUAUCGGGAGGAACACCCGUAGCGAAGGCGGCACUCUGGGCCGGAACUGACGCUGAGGAGCGAAAGCGUGGGGAGCAAACAGG
rnacentral:rRNA from 1 species